rnacentral:misc_RNA from 1 species
GAUGAAGAACGCAGCGAAAUGCGAUAAGUAAUGUGAAUUGCAGAAUUCCGUGAAUCAUCGAAUCUUUGAACGCAUAUUGCGCCCUCUGGCAUUCCGGGGGGCAUGCCUGUCCGAGCGUCAUUGCUGCCCUCAAGCACGGCUUGUGUGUUGGGCCCCGUCCUCCGAUCCCGGGGGACGGGCCCGAAAGGCAGCGGCGGCACCGCGUCCGGUCCUCGAGCGUAUGGGGCUUUGUCACCCGCUCUGUAGGCCCGGCCGGCGCUUGCCGAUCAACCCAAAUUUUUUAUCCAGGUUGACCUCGGAUCAGGUAGGGAUACCCGCUGAACUUAAGCAUAUCAAUAAGCGGAGGA